rnacentral:tRNA from 1 species
GAGGGUAUAGCUCAGUGGCAGAUUGUGUGCUUAGCAUGCAGGAGGUCCUCGGUUCAAUUCCCAGUACCUCCA